ACAGCCGAACCGUAUCUCAUAGCCACCCUACAGCCAUCCCGUAUCUCAUAGCCAUCCUACAGCCAUCCCAUAUCUCAUAGCCACCCUACAGCCAUCCCACAGCCAUCCCAUAUCUCAUAGCCACCCUACAGCCAUCCCACAGCCGUCCCAUAUCUCAUAGCCACCCUACAGCCAUCCAACAUCUCAUAUCCACCCUACAGCCAUCCCACAGCCAUCUCAUAUCUCAUAACCACCCUACACCCAUCCCAUAUCUCACAGCCAUCCUACACCCAUCCCAUAUCUCAUAGCCACCCUACAGCCAUCAUGUAUCUCAUAUCCACCCUACAGCUAUCCCAUAUUUCAUAUCCACUCUACUGCCAUUGCACAGCCGUCCCCUAUCUCAUAGCCACCCUACAGCCAUCCUACAGCCAUCCCAUAUCUCAUAGCCACCCUACAGCCAUUCCAUAUCACAUAUCCAUCCUACAGCCAUCCCAGAGCCCUCCCAUAUCUCAUAUCCAUCCUACAGCCAUCCCAUAUCUUUUAUCCAUCCCACAUCCAUCCCAUAUUCCUCCUAUCUCCAUCCAACUCAUGUCCAUCCUAUGUCCACCUCUUGUCCACCUCAUGUCCAUCAUAUAUCCACCCAAUUCCGUCCCAUAUCCACCCCAUAUCCAUCCUCUGUCCACCCCAUAUCUACCCCAUAUCCAUCCUCUGUCCACCCCAUAUCCAUCCUGUGUCCACCCCGUAUCCAUCCCAUAUCCAUCCUGUGUCCACCCCGUAUCCAUCCCAUACCCACCCUGUGUCCACCCCAUAUCCACCCCAUAUCCACCCCGUAUCCACCCUGUGUCCACCCCGUAUCCACCCCAUAUCCACCCUGUGUCCACCCCGUAUCCACCCCAUAUCCAUCCUGUGUCCACGCCGUAUCCACCCCAUAUCCACCCUGUGUCCGUCCCUAUAUGGGAACUGCUGAGUCCUGGCCUGAAGCACUGAUUGAGCACCUGGAGGAAAGACCCAGCCAGCCCUGGGAGCGCAGGUGAAGGCAAUGCACCUGUGUGACCAGAAGGGGUGGAGCCUGGCUCCACCCCUCUUAGGCCUCAUUUAAGGGCUGACUGCCCCUGAGGAAGGAUCUCUGCCUGGAGAUCCCUCCUUGGUGGGAGCUUUUUCCUGCGUGCCCCAAAUCUUCCGAUCCGGGUGAGCGCUGUAUUUUCCUUCCCCCUUUUGUAACGCUAUUUCCAUCACGUUAGUCCUGCUUAUCGCUACAAUCCCAUAUCCACCCCGUGUCCACCCCAUAUCCAUCCCAUAUCCAUUCCGUCUGUCCCGUGUCCGUAUAUCCCAUCCCCCUCCACCCCCCAUCCCCAUCCCGUUCCUUUGCCCAGGACACGUGUACCCCUGCAGUGGGCAGGACGCCGUGUCCCCGUCCCCACGGUGUCCCCGUCCCCACGGUGUCCCCGUCCCCACGGUGUCCCCGUCCCCACGGUGUCCCCGUCCCCAUCCCUGUCCCCGUGGUGUUCCCGUCCCCGUCCCCAUCCCUGUCCCCGUGGUGUCCCCGUCCCCAUCCCUGUCCCCAUCCCUAUCCCCACAGUGUCCUCACGGUGUCCCCAUCCCCGUCCCCAUCCCUGUCCCCCCGGUGUCCCCAUCCCUGUCCCCAUCCUCACAGUGUCCCCACGGUGUCCCCACGUUGUCCCUGUGUCCCCGCAGGAGCUGGAGUCCCCGGUGCUGAUGGUGGCCCUGACCUGCUCUGAGGACGGCUCUGCCCCGGUACAGCACCUGCAGCCCUCGGGGUCACCGCGUGUCCCCCCNGGUCACAGUGACAGGGACAGCACGGGUGACAGAGAGAGAUGGCCUCGAGGACAGGGAUGGGGACAGGGACAGGGACGGGGGGCGAGGGGUGGGUGAGGAUGGGGACAGGGACAGAGCUGGAAGAGACAAAGGCACCACAGGGAGGGAUGGGGACACGUGGCCGGGUUUGGGGACACGUGGCCGGGUUUGG
rnacentral:lncRNA from 1 species